rnacentral:lncRNA from 1 species
GGGCGGGGCGGGGCGGGGCGGGGCGGGGCGCGAGAGGACAGAGGAGGCGGGGCCGCGCCCCUCCGUAGCCCGCGGGCGGAAGCGAGAGAGAAUGAGGAGGCAAGAGGGGAGCCGCGGCCGCGGGGAGGCUCGGGACGAGUGGGUUUGUUCCGGUUCUCCUUCCGCUGCAGACGUCCGGGGCCCAGGCCCGAAGCCGAGGGGGAAGGUACCCACACUGCACCAAAAGAUACCUGAGAGACCCAUGCAGCUGUACAUCUGAAGGUAGAUGGACUGGCUCCCUGGGAAGUGGUGGAGAUAGGGAAAAAGACAUCAUCAUCAAGCUGUUUUCAUCUAACAAGCUUCUUUCUGCUAAGCAGAUGUACAUGUGUGAGUUUUAGAAGGACCAUCUCAUGGUAUUUUGUAUGGAAGGAGAUGUUCUCGGGUGUGGAUUUAUGUCGAUUCAUGGUCAGAGCUAAGUCAGAUCAUUAAGAAAACAAGAUUGAAAGACUGCGACAAGGAAAUAUGGGGAAAGAAGUGCACGGAUGGACAUCUAUAGAUUGUGCCCAGAGUGUGAGAAUAACUGUGUCUCGUGAGGAAGCUUGACAAGGACUUCUGCAGAGGAGAUUCUCAAUAAUUAGGUGGACAAAAUGGCCUUUCCCCAGGGGUCUACGUGUUUGUUCAGUAGGCUCAUUUAAAAAGUCUCCAUAGUGGCCGAGAAGGAUAUUAUACAUAAGUUGAGCAUCAACUUCCCGCGCUGGGGCUGACUCACAACUGCACCUUCUGUGUGCCGAACAUACCUGCGGCCCUGACCCAGCCCGCAGCCCUGGAGCAGCAGCCAGCAUCUAGUGGCAGACUGGCUACAUAAGCUUCUUUCCCUCAUGGAGAAGGCAGCACUUUUUCCUCAUUGUAAAUAUAUAUUUACUGUGGAUAGAGGUUUACUUUCCCUGCAUGCUGAAUUUUUACCUGCAUCAUUAUCUGUAGUUCUACUAAUUGCCUAAUUCAUUUGUAAUGGUAUCCCAUUAGCCAUUGCUUCUGACCAGAGAAUUUGUCUAUCAGUGAAUGAAGUUAAAGCGCUGAGCUGAUGCUGUUGAUGAGCUUCACUCGUCUUACCAUGUAUCCCAUCACCCAGAAGUGGAUGGGCUUUUAGAAAGGUAGAUGGCCCUUUGGAGACCUAGUUAAGGUACCAGCUGGGAAACAACACUUUGUGAGGUUGUAAUGCCAUCAGUUAGGAUGAAGUAAAUGCAUAUCUUCCAUGGUCACAAUAUAUGGUUUCAGAAACCAGUGGAUGCGAAAUAGGAGUGACACCUCCCACUGAUAAACCUAAUGACCCACUCCCCAAAUUUUUGCUGCUUGUGCCUGUGACUUUUAACUCUGCUGGUCUCACAAUCUUAUUAUCCAGGGAGGAACGAGUCCAUCGGGAGACACCAAGUAGUUACAUGGAACAGGAGAUUGAGACUGACACCUGGUCUUUUUGGAUUUCUCAUGCCUUAUGUACAAGGGUGGCGAGGGCAGGGAGUGGGGUGGGGGGUGGGUGCAAUUACACGUAUUGGCUGAGGUGCUUGGUUUUGAUUUUAAAGGGUAAAUAGGAUUUCUUCCAUACAAACAAAGGCAAGGAGCAGUGUGUUCAGAACCUAGAGCAUCUUUUGCCUCCUACCACCACUAUGCCCAGUGGUAAAGCCAAUGGAAAACCUCAGGAGUCUUUAUGUCAGAGUCAAAAAGGCUCAGACCUUUUAGGGAGGAAGAUUUGGGUCGUCUCAUGAGGUAAGUGAUUCCAAUCAUUUAAGCUUCUGGCUUAGAGCAAAGGGAGCAUAGGAUAAGUAGUAGCAGAAGAAAAUUAUAAAUGCCAGGUACAGCCUCAUGGCCUAGAGUAGCUAUCAUUAUCUUCUUCUUUGCUCUGGUUUAUUUUUUUACCUUUCCCUUUUUAUUUGUGGUUAAAUUCACAAUUUUGUCCACAGAUUUCAGAAUAUCAGUACUGAGUUGUGACUUAACCAGAGGAGGAAAAAACAUUAGCCAAAGAUAAAUGAAGUUAUUGAUGAAAUUCUAUGUCUUGAAGGGAGAGAAUGAAUGUAACUUCUUUUGUACAAGAAAUAAUUGCAUUAUUAGAGACAGGAACAUGUUGUUGCAAUCUGUGGUUUGUAAUUUUGAGUGUGGGGAGAAGGAUGAAUGGAUGCUGAGUAGUGAGAGGGAUGAACAGUGACAGAUAUUACUGAUUGGCUUCUUCCGUACCUUUUCAAUCCAUUGUAGCAUGCCUUCCUGGGCUUUAGAAGCUGGAAAGCUAAAGACUAUAUUUCCAAGACUCGUUUGAAGUGUAGCAAGCUUGCUCAUGCUUUCUGCCAGGCAGAUGCACCCCUGCCAGACUUGCCAGGCAGAAUGAGCAUUGCGAGGCAGAAUGAGCAUUGCGAGGCAGACGCCACACAGUGCUUCUGGCAAGGACAAAUGGACAGGUUUAUGUACUUUUCUGCUGCAGCUGUUGUAGGGGUUGGAGUGACCAGAUCCUGGAUUUAUGAGUAUCAAGCAGCAGAUACUGGCAACAAGGAUGUAUCUGCUACAUAGUUCCCAUGAUGCGGUUGGGGCUUUCUCCUGGCUGUGUUGUCAAUGUGCAACAAGCAAGCUUGGUUCCUGGUGUUCCCAGACGUCCUGUAAACUAACCAGUACUCUGUAAUAAAUCCCUUUCUGUUUAAACUAGUGAGAGUGUACUCUGUUGUCUAAAAUUAGUACUUUAACUAUAUAUCUCUAAACUAGUCAAUGGGAAGGGGAAUAGGACUCUCUGAUUUGGGAGUGGGGGUGGAUGUUUGAGAAUCAGAUACAAUAACCCCCUCACCUCCCAUUCAGUCCUCAACCACUGAAAUUUGGCAUCUACCUUCUCUGCUACUGCUUUUGUUAAGAUCGCCAAGACUUCCCUGAUGGAACCUCCUGGCAGCAUUUGACCCUCUUGCCCACUUAACACUUUUAGCAAAAUCUCACUUCCUUUAGCUUCUGUAUAUACAAUCUUCUGGUUUCCCACUUUUUUCACUGUUUCCUCUCAGUAUUCUUUCAGGGACCUUCUGUCUCUGCUGAUGAUCAUUUAAAGAUGAGGAUUCCUCAGCGUUCUAUACGAAAUCUGCUUCUUUCCUCGCUCUGCAUAUUGUUCAGCGAUGAUUUUAGAUUUUCUCCACUCCCAUGGCUUUAAUUAUUGUUGUUGGUGCUGUUAAGUCGAUUUUGACUGCUGGCGACCCUAUGUACAGCAGAGCAGAACAGAACUCUGCCCAGUCUCUCUGCGCCGUCCUCUCACCUGCUGGCGCCGUGUCAGACAGUGCUCCACUGCUGUUCAUUGGGUUUCCAUGGCCGAUUUUUUGGAAAUGGGUGGCCAGGUCCUUCUUCCUUGUCUGUCUAGUCUAGAAGCUCUGCUGAAACCUGUCCACCACUGGUGACUCUGCCGGUAUUUGAAAUCCCAGUGGCAGAGCUUUCAGCAUCACAGCGACGCGCAGCCACCACAGUAUGACAACCGACAGAGGGGUGGUGAGGUUCCCUAGUUGGGAAACGAACUCAGGUGGCCCAGUGAUAGCACCAGAUCUUAACCACUGACCACCAGGCCUGGCUUUAAUUAAUUCCUAUAUAAUGCUGACUUCCAAAUUUAUUUCUUCAGGACAGUUCUCUCUCCUAAACACCAGCUACAUUCUGAAUAUCUCUGCUUCCGUGGCUCCUAAGGACUUUAAACACAGGAUAGACAAAACAGAACUCAUUAGUUUCCUCCUCUUACCUCAUCACAAUCCCUCAAACUAGCAAACUGCUUCUCAGUUAUGGGCCCAUUCCUGGUAAGUGGCAUUCCUGUCAACAAGAUUGUUCAAGCCAGAAGCUGGGUGCCACACUUCACUCGUUGCUCUCCUCUUCCUAGCCAACCAGUCUUCCAGUCUUCCCAUUUCUACUUCCCAAAUAUCGCUCAGUUCAUCUCUACUGCCUUAGUUUUAGAUACCAUCAAUUCCAACCUAGUUUACUGCAACAGCCUCUAACCAGUCUCUUCCUCCAAUCUUACCUCCUUCUAGUACAUUCCUCAAAUUGAAGACAGACUGAUACAUCCAGAACACAGGCGAAGUCAUGCUCUUUGCCUGUCCAUAGAAUAACAUCUUAACCCCCUUCACAGGGCUUGCAGAGUCUUCCAUGGGCCGACUUCUCUAGCAUCAUUUAGUGCACUCCUUGUUUCCUCUCCAGCACACGUUAUGUCCAGCCAUACUAAACUUCUCUCAGGUGCUAGAAUAUGCCAUGCUCUCUUUGGCCUGUGGAACAGCAUGCUAUUUCUGCUCUAAAGGAACUGAUAUCAACUUAGAUAUUAUUUUCUUCAGCAAGUCUUCCCCUUCUGGCUUGUUGCCCCUGCUUUUUUCUCCAACAGCAGGGAAAUGCCUUCUACUUCCCCAUAUUAAUACAUUUGCAACCUGCACUUGUAACUCUUGAUUACUUUUCUGUCCUUCCUGGAUACACCUAGCCCUGUCUAGGCAACAGCUAUGUCUAUUUUGUUCAUUAUCAGUGGCCCUGUCACCUAGCAGAGUACCUGGCAGUUAAAUUUUGUGAAAUGGGUAAACAGUUGACACAGUUAAUAAGGUAGUAUAUGAUAGGGGAGUAAUAAACAAUUAAUUAUUCAUUAGUUUACUGCCUUGUGACCAUAAUUGUCAAAGAUUUAGCUAAAAUGAAAAAGAGUUGCGUAAGUCUACAUCAUGGUCAAGCCUCUUUUCCUACAUCAGUGAUACCAGCAUUCUGUUUCUCUAGACUCUUACAAACUUAAAAAACAUGUUUUAUUGAGAUACAACUUGCAAUAAAAUGUAUAAUUCUUAAGUCUAAAGCGUGACUGAUCUUUUACGUACGCACACACGUGUGUGAUCGCUACUCGGAUCAAUGUGUAGAACACUUCCAGCGCCCAGAAGGCUCCCUCAGCCCGCCUUCCAGCCAGCCUCCUCUCAAAGGGCGCCACUUCCAACUCUUAGCACCACAGAUUUGUCUGCCUGAUUUUGAACUCUGCAUAAUGAAAUGGCUUCUUUUACUCCACAUCAUGUUGGUGAGUUUUGUUCUUUUUUGUUGCUGUAUUCGUUUGAUUGUAUGACUACCUUGUACUUUAUCCAUUCUGUUGUCAAAAGACAUUUGAGUUGUUUCAAGUUCGGGCUGUUAUGAACAUUCUUGUGUGUGUCUUUUGGUGGACAUGAGCACUGAUUUAUGCUGGAGGUAUAGACAGGAGAGGGUUUGCAGUAUCAUAGAGUAUGCAUAAGUUGAGCUUAAGUGGAUGUAUUAUCAAAUAUUUUACCAAAGUCAUUAUACCAACUUGUGCUCCCAUCAAUAAAUGUGUGAGUUCCAGCUUUCUACAUCCUUGAUGUUACUUCACAUUAUGUGCUACCAACUUAUAGAAAUUUACAUAAUCAUCUGAGAUGAAAACUGAAAUUACUGUAGUAGUAUAAAAGCACUCAAAAUAGGCUUCUUGAGCUAGUGUUCACAAAAGAAUGGCUAAUAAUUUAGUGAGCAUGCAGUGCUUGCCAGGCCUGCUCCUCUCUCUGUGUGGGCUACCUCAUUGAAUCAUCACUACAGCUCUGUGAGGUCGAUUCUCUUAUCCCCGCUGUAGGGAGGAGGGAUCUGUGGCAUAGGGGGACAUAGCACUCAAUCACAGACCUUUAAAGAACUGGAUGGGUUAAUGCCGCCCCUCACUGCUGACAAAAAAAGCCAGCCUAGAAAGCCGGCUGCAUCUUAUGAAAGGAAGGUCACCUGGUUUGUUAGAGGUCAAAUCUGGGUUGGAAUCCAGAUCUCCUAACUUCUCAUCUAGCAUGGAUAAUAAAUCAGUAGUGCACAAGCUAGAUAAAAUUAACAGUAAUCAAAACAAGCACAUUUUGAAAAAGUACUUCAUUCUCUUCAGAAUUUAGUUAUUAUGACUUCAGUUUGUGGAAUAGUUUCACAAAGUUCUAAAACGAUUUUGCAAAUAUCAAGGUCAUAGAAAAGUGUUCACAUUUUGUGAAGUCAAAAGCUUACAUAGUUGAGGGGGGAGGAUGGCUCAUUAAGAAAAAGAAUAUAAAAAAUCUUACUUUUACAAAAUGCUACAAAAACAUGUGAGCACAUUGCUGGGGACUGGGGGUAGCCAGCCUCCCUUCAUGAAGAUUUCCCCCAAUUAACCCUGUCUCCUGGUAUUCAUGCCCUUGUAUAAUUCCCCUUCCAUAUUGUAUUGGGAUUGGUCUGUGAGACCAAUAAAAUACAGUAGAAGUGAUGUUACUUUAGAAGCUAGGUUAUAAAAGACAUUAUGACUUCUUCUUUCUCUCUUGGAUCAUUCACUUUGGGGACCCCAGCUACCAUGUUGUGAGAACCUUUGGACAGCUCUGUAAUGAAGUCAGUAGUGAGAAACUUGAGGCCUCCAGCCCACAGCCAUGUGAGUGAGCCAUUUUGAGAGUGGAUCGUCCAGUCCUGGUCAAGCCUUUAAAUAACUACAGCCUUGACUACAACCUCAUGAAAUAUUCUGAGCCAGAACUACCCAAAGAAGCCACUCCCAGAUUCCAGACUCACAUACUGUGUGAGAUAAUAAGGUUAUUCUUUUAAGCUAAUAAGUUUUGGAGUAAGUUGUUAUACAGAAGUUGGUGACUAAUACAGGUCCCUCACAGGGCCUUGGAAGAGGCCUAGAAGUUUGAGUUUCAUAAGGUUUUUGGAAAUUAUCUCUGCCUAUGUUAAUGGCUAAGUCUACUAGAUUUUUGUGGCAAAGACAGCUAGUUUUCCACCAACAUUUGUUCUUUGUUUCUUCCACAGAGGCUGUAACUAGGUCAUGCCUGUCCAGCCACGAGCCACAAUGGCCAGCCUCCUUUGCAGCUAAGUGUUUGCUUCAUGUGGCUCAGCUCUGGUUCGUGGAGUGCAGCAGAAGGGCACUUCUGAACCGCCUUUCCAGAGGACAGUGUGACGCUCCUUUCCCCAUCCUUGUGGCCAGGAUGCUGACAAGCAGAGUAACCUUGGCAGCCACAUGUUGCAGAUGGCACAGACUGUGUCUGGGCCGGAUCCCUGAAUGACUUCAUGGAGCAGAGCCUCUACUCCUCCAGGCCAGAACACCCCCUGAGCCAUUUCGUUAGAGAGAAAUAAGCUUUUAGUGACUGUCUUUUAAGGUCUAUAUAUUAAAACAAGUGAGCCUACCCUAACUAAUUAGUUAGUUCUUCAAAAUUUAGAUACUUAAUUUUUUACCCAGGGUCUAGUCUUGGUGUUAUUUACUUCUAUAUUUGUUUGGUAAUUUAUCAACUUUUUGUUCUGCAAAAUUUCAGACAUACAAAAGUAGAGGAAAUGAUAUAAUGAAGUCUUAUGUACCUAUGACUAAACCUCAACAUUUGUGUUAUAAGGCCUUUCCUAUUUCCUACGUGUAUGCCAUUUCCUACAUAUUUAUGGCCAUACCUCUGUCAUCGGUACCCUCUUUCCUCUCUGCCCCGUUCUGGAUUAUUUUAAAGCAAAUUUCAGAAUCUCAAACAUCAUUCAUUUCAUUGGAGACUUUUAAAUGCCACAAGAAACCUCCUCCAACCUCCCUGGAACUCAAGUGUUAUUGUGAAACUGUGGCUAUGAAAACGGGCCGUUCCCAUUGUGUUACAACGUAUGAUGAAGACAAUGCAAGCUGAAAGGUUAGGCUCACCUGCCGGUGCGAGAGGCACACCCUAUCCCCAGAACAUACCAGAAUCUACCUUCACCCCAUUCAAGGUGGAAGCUUGGAGCUUAUAAAGGAGACCUGGCAGUACCAGGCAGUCUGAGAAUAUGGGGCGACCAGCAGUGGGUCAAGAAUUGAAGCCAGAUAACUUGGGUUCUAAAUAUCUAAACUUCGCUCAGCUACUUACUAGUUGUAUGCUCUGCAACCAUUCACUUAAUUAUUCAGAUCCUCAGGUUUUCUCAUUUAUAAGAUGGAAAUAAUACCUAUUCCAUCACUGGAUCUGUAUGUUAAAAUUAGCUAAGAUUUUUAAAAUUAUGAACUUUAUAUGAUGAUCAGUUUAUAACUUGGAAGUAAAUAUAAGCUAAGAUUUUAAUUCUUAUUUAAUGUUUUCCUCUAGAGUAGCAUUUAUAGUCUACAGGAAUCUAUUAAAAUCAGUGUUAUUGGUGGCAGUGAUUAUUUUUUCUAAUGAGUUUUUGGAUCUAAAUCAGCAGCACCAUCCAUGAAAGGGAAAAUGAUGCUGCAGUUUGCUUAUUUCAAACAUCUUUAAUCUGAGAAAAGUGGACAGUACCAUAGUGAGCUCCUGCAGGGCCAAAGAGCGAAUAGACUCUUAACUCAAGUUUUCCCUCAGGAGGUUAGCUUCUCCCCCCCUUCACCAGCAUCCAGUUUGACCCAGCCAGUUCUGCAUAAGCUGGGAUAUGGAGAUUUCCAGAUCUUAAUGACUUCCCUCAUACAUCAAAAUGUCUCUUUCUGCAUUACUGAGCUCAGUUCCAACUGGGUCACAGCGUUGAGCAAGGUAGACUUAAAAAGGACGUACAAUAAUUCAUGUGAAAUGUAAGCAAGACAUUUUCCUCCUCCCCUGCUGGAUCUGCAUGCAAUGUUUCCCCUUCUGGUUUCUGUUUUUUAGGUACAUUAUAAGUACCUGGUAAGUUAGAACCUUUUAACUUUUUAACUUUCAAUUUUAGAAUAGUUUUAGGUUUACAAGAAAGUUGCAAAGAUAGUGCAGAGUUCCCGUCUGCCCCUCACCUGGUUUCCCCUACUGUUAGCAUCUUACAUUGCCAGGCUACAUUUGUCACGCCUAAGAAACUAACACUGGUAUGUUGCUAUUAACUAAACUCCAGACAUUAUUCCGAUUUCACUAGUUUUUCCACUAAUGUCCUUUGUCUGCUCCAGGGUCCCAUCCAGGACACCACAUUACAUUUAGUUAUUGUGUCUCCUUAGCCUCCUCUGAUUUGUGACAACUUUUUAGCCUUUCCUCAUUUUUAAGGACCUUGACAGCUUUAAGGAGUACUGGUCAGGUAUUUUAUACGAUGCUUCUCAAUUUGAUUUUUUUCUCUAGUUAGAUUGGGGUUAUGGGAUGGAGAGGCUGACCACAGAGUUGAGGUCACCUUCUCAUCACACCGUGUGUCAGGGAGGUGUGCUGUCAAUAUGACAUCACUGGUUCUGUUGACCUUGAUCACCUAGCCUAGGGAGGGUUUCCAGGUUUCUUCACUGUGAAGUAACUUACCCCUUUCCCAUGCUCUAUUCUUUAGAAGCGAUGACUGAGCUCAGCCCAUAAUCAAGGAGGCAAGAGGGAUAAAGCUCCCAAAACAAACCUGGAAGAAUUUGAGAGCAAAAAUAAUGCAAUAUGAAAUUAUAACCCAAAGUAUAAAAUAAAUGUCCAGGACUCCAUACUCAUAUAAAUAAAUGACUAAAAAAAUGAACAAAGGAGAAGAGACAAAUCUUCCUUCUAUUAGAAUUCCAAAUUAAAGCAUUUUGUUACACAGCCUAUUCUGUUUUUACUUUAAAAGUACUAAUAGACUUUAUUGUUAAGAGCAGUUUUAGGUUUGCAGAAAAAUGGAACAGAAAAUACAGAAAGAUCCUACAUAUGACUCCCACCCCCGUUUCCCUUAUUGUUAACAUAUUGCAUCAGUGAUUAACUUUUGAACUUUCAGCUGUCUUAGAAAUGAAAAAUGGAACAGUGCUGUGUGGUAAGAGUCUUUGGACUCUCAGUGAAUAACAGUACUUUCCUAUGAAUGGAAAUAGGCAUCUUGGAAUAUGAAGACAGAUACCACGAGACUCCAAACUCUGUUAUACCAACAGGGGCUAGAUCAUUUAAAAUUUUCUUUUCUGGGAGCUAGCCCCGUGGCCGAGUGGUUAAGUUCGCGUGCUCUGCUUCAAUGGCCCAGGGUUUCUCUGGUUCGGAUCCUGGGUGCGGACAUGGCACUGCUCGUCAGGCCACAGUGAGGCAGCAUCCCACAUGCCACAACCAGAAGAACCCACAACUAAAAUAUACAACUAUGUACUGGGCUUGGGGAGAAAAAGCAGGGGAAAAAAAAGAAGAUUGGUAACAGCUGUUUGCUCAGGUACCAAUCUUUAGGAAAAAAAAAUUUUUUUAAUUUUCUGAUUUUAAAACUCUUAACUCAUCUUCAAAGCAAAAAAAGAGUAGAUGUCAUUACAAAUAUCAUAGCAAGGUUGCAAGCUCUGUGAUUUUAUACUUGUGAGAACUAGUUUCAAAGUGGGUUCUCAAUUCAGUUCUUUGAAUUAAAUUGAAAAGGAAAAGUGCAUCUGAGAGGAGCGGUCAGCAUCUGAAGAGAUGAUGAAGUUCGCAUGGUGGCUGCCAUGUGAAGAUGCUGCAGGACACUGAGAUACCCACAGGAAAAAGAGAUUUCUGUCUCUGCUGGUGAGGUUGUGAGGAAACGGGCACCCUCCACAUUUUUGGGGAACAUUGAUAAACCCCUCUUAGAGGCAUUUUGACAGUAUCUGUCAAAUUUCCAUAUGCAUUUACCCUUGAAUCCAGGGAAAUCCCAUUCAGUUUGGACUCAAUCUGGAAGUUAUUUCUUCCCAAAAGGAACUGAACUGGAUGUAAACCUCACUGAAAGCCUCAGUAUGGGCAGAGCACAGAGAUCCUGCUCAGAGAUUGACAUGGAGCUGUGAAUGUGGAAAAGGUGCCGACCAUAAGCAGGAAGGUGCUGGUGGCGGGCUCAGCACAAAGUAUUCAAGGGACGCUAACCCCCAUAGCCGUUUCUGGGGAGAUGUCUUUGUAAAAUCUGAACUUCAAGCAAUUGCAGGUACAGAUUUUGACUCUUAAAUGACUUGUGAGGAAGCAGUGGUUUCUGGGCACACUGGUGUGUGGCAGGAACAGAGUGUUCCGUGCAGAGGAUCAGUAAAGCCCAGGUGAUCUGAGAAGUGAAAUCCAGUUGAGAACAGAAACAUUCCCUAAGAAUUCCCACCGCUUCUUGAAUAAAGCGACAUUGGAAUAUGACUCCAAACUGCCUCUAGGCAGUGUUUGUAGUAGUAUUAGAUGCAGGUGUAUUAGUGAACGGCAUGCAUUUUCUUUCAUACUCUGAUUCAGAUUCAGUUUGCAUUGUUUUCAUAAAGCCGCAUGCUGAAGAGCCCCCCAGUGUUGUUAUGAAUAAUGACCAGGGCUGGGGGGCCCGAAACACGGCUGCCUGAAUGAGGUGACUGGCUGGCCCAUGGCCCUGGCAGCGUGCUGCUCAAGUGUCUUGUCUGAUGUGCUACCCUGUUACACUGGCCCUGGGCAAGAAGGAGUGUUCAUCAUCGUGUCUCUGGCCUCACAAGAAAGGAGCGCUUUAUGUUUAGUCUGUUCUGUUCCAGAAGGCAAGGAAGUUUGUAACAUAUUAUAGGAAUAAUUUAAUAUAAUGAAUACUUUUUAAGUUUUUAUGCUGUAAAGUGAUGGUUCUCUAACGUUACCAGGCAUCAGAACCACCUGGAGUGCUAUUAGAACACGGAUUGCUGGGCUCCACCCUCAGAGAUUCUGAUUCAGUAGGUCUGGAGGGGGCCCAAGAAUUUGCACGGUAAGCUUCCGUUAUCUGGAACAUCCACGUGUUAUAUUUCUUACUCUUCACGCUGUUGAACUUAAGGUGUUAUUGCCAAGUGACCUGGAAAAUAGAGUGCUCAUUGGAACCGGCCCUCCCUCCUUACAACUGCUUCCCCAAAGGCUUCUGGGCCACUUUUCUGUACUUCCUCCAUUCUCUACCAAUACUCACCUCCAAAUUGGAAUCUGAAAUGGGGAUUUCACUCUUUUCUGUUAUUAUCUUCUCUCUUUCCUCCAGUUCCUGGUGCUAGUAUAUGUAAAGGAAUAGUGACUAAUACAUGGCAGUAUAUAAAUAAGCAGUUGUGUUUAGGAGUUCAAAAAAAGGGGUAAUUAAGAAAGACCCAUGGUGAACGUGAAGUAUAAGCUCAACCUUGAUGGAUGGUGUUUGACUAGGCAGACAGGAGGCAGCGGACAUUUCAGACCAAGGCAGCAUCUUGGGCAAAGGCCCAGAAGCAGGACAAGCAGAGAGUAAGGCCUGAGAGGGGGGUGUGCUGGAGAGAACUAAGAAGGAAGAUCGAAUGGGUAGGCUGGGGCUGGAGAGCCAGCAGAGUUCACAGUUGCUUUAGUGAGACGGGAAGCAUGGAAGGUUGUGUAGUGGCUAAAGGCCUGUGUCAAGCAGAUUAGUUAGGCAGUGAGUGUGCAGGACGGCUUGAGAGUGGAGGCCACCCGGCAAGCUGUUCUGGAAAUGCAGACCUGUGCAAGCCAGCGCUGGGCUGCUGCUUAUCACCUGAAAUGUCUCAUUCGCAGCCUAAGGCAUUGUAGAUGUCACCUCAGUGUGUCUGGGCAAGUGGGGCCACGGCAUGUUCUGCUCACCUUCUUGUAUUUUAACUUUCUAAAAAUCAUUUCCACUUACUUUCAAUAUUUUCUGUGCAGUUGUUCAGACUUAUUUUAGACAAAGCCUUAUCUUCUCAAGCUUAAAACUCUACUCUUUCUUUCACAAUAUUGGUUAUUACUUCCCAACUAACCUUUAAUUUCCUUGUACCUCCUCCCUUUCUCAUCCUCAAAGCCUUUUCUUUCCUGCCUCAGUAACCUUUUCUCCUUAUUUGUCAAUCUAAAGCUAAAUUAUCUUUACAUUCUUUUUCCACCUGGCUUAAUUUGGAGGUAAGCACUUUCUUUUGCCUAAUGCUCAAACUCACUAAAAUAUAUGGUGACAUGAUUUUUUUCAUCCAAUGUUGCUUCCACUUAAUUUAUGUCAUAGAUGAUUCAUAGAUCAUCUCAAAACAAAGAUGGGAUAUUUUCCUUAUUUGAAUAAGGGAGUAUGAGCACUGUCCCCUCUGUUAUAUGUGUAACCACAUUUCCCUAGGUUGUACUGGGGACACAGCAGCAUGUGGCUCAGUCUCCACCAGCAAAGAUGGAGAUCCCAGGCCUGAGCUCCUUCGCAGCAGCCUGAAGGUGGCUGCUUCAGAGGGGGUCUUCCUGGCUCCCAACACCCUCAUUUACCCUCUUCAUGUCAGCCCUGUGGUUUCCGCUACCCUGACAUCCCCCUCAUUCCCAACACAGGCAUGUACAUGGUUGCUCCUUAAUUCCAUUCUUUUUUGUUUGUUUGCUAAAGAGGAUUCUCCCUGAGCCAACAUCUGUUCCAAUCUUCUUCUAUUUUGUAUGUGGAUCGCCACCACAGCUGAUGAGUGGUGUAGGUCCGUGCCAGGAACAGAACCCAGGCUGCCGAAGUGGAACACGCCAAACUUAACCGCUAGGCCAUGGGGCUGGCCCCCUUAAUUCCAUUCUUAAUAGCUGUCAAGCCACCUCUCUCCUGGCUUACCUUCUUCCUGGGCCCCAAAGCAGAUGUACUUUAUGCUCUGUGGUUACAGGAGCUGUAAUAAACUGCCCCUUUCCAGCAACACAGCAUGGGCCCGGAAGCUGGGCUGAGCUGCAAGCACAGGAAUACCUCACUGGGCUGCCUCAUAGCCAUCCUCCCUUUGCUCUCCUCCAAUAAACUCAGAUCAAGCAAGUGCACCUCAACUCUCCUCUCAGAGAACAAACAGAAUCAUGAAUUACAUUGCAAGAUUUAUAUAGCUGAUUCAUAAACUUCAGGAAGUUUUAUCAUGGUUCCAAAACUACAAAAUUUUGUCUUUGGAUAAUUUGGAAAUGAUGCUGAGGUACAUUUCUCCACCCCUCCUGCUUCUUACCUCACUCCGUAGAUGCUACGCACGUGGCCUCAAUGUGUCAAGGAGUGGGGUUCCUGAGGUUCUCAUUCAAAUCAGGUACAGCUCUGUCAGCACCCCAGAGACCUUCAAAAUGUCUAAAUUUCCAAUGUACAUAAAUUAGGUCCUAUUCAUUCAUUCAAAAUGUAUUUUUUGAGCAUCUACUCUGUGCCAGGCAUGAUUCUUAGCCCUUGGGUGAUAGCAGUGGAGACAUACAAAAUCUCUGCUCUCAGAGAAUGUAUGUAUAAACAAACAAUUUCAGAUAGUGAUAACUGCCAUGAAGAAAAUAAUACAGGUAAUGUGAUAGACAGUGGUGGGGACGGUGAGGGAGACUUCUGAAGGGGCGACAUUGAUCUGAGAGCUUUGUAGUAAGAGAGGCAGCCAUGAGAAGCCCUUGGCAAAGAAUACUCCAAGCGGAUGGAGGAUUGAGUGUAAAGACCUGAGUUGGAAGUGGGAGGGCCAGUGAGCCUGGAAUGUAAUGUAAGUGGAGGAUGGGAAGUGAAGGGAGUCAUGUAGGGUGAGACGGGAGAGGCAGGUAGGAGUCACGUCCUAUAGGCCUUGUUGGCCUGGGGAAGAAGAUUGGAUUUUCUCUGGGUACUAUAGGAAGCCAUUGCAGAGUUUUAACUAGUGGAAGAUCGUGGUCUGAUGUAAGGUUUUUUUUUUCUUAUUAGUGUUUUUUAAUAUUCAUGUAACAUAAAUGUUACUGUUUUAAGUGUACAACUCAUUGGUUUUAGCAUGUUGUAAUGAGUGUGACCAUUAGCACUAAUUCCAGAACCUUUCCAUCAUCCCCAAAAGAAAUCCUGUACUUGUUAGCAGUUAUUCCCUUUGACUCUUUCCCUGGCCCUUGGCAAACAAUAAUCUGCUUCGGUCUCAAGAGAUUUGCCUAUUCUGGACAUUUCAUGUAAGUGGAAUCCUACAGCUUAUGUGUCUGGCUUCUUUCAGGUAGCGUAAAGUUUUAAGGCCAUCCAUGUUGUAGCAUGUAGCAGGACUUCAUUCCUUUUUACAGCAGAAUAAGUUUCCAUUGUAUGUGUAUACCACAUUUUGUUUAUCCAUUCAUCUGUUAAUGGACAUUUGGGCUGUUUCACUUUUUGGCUAUUAUGAAUAAAGCUGCUAUGAACAUUUGUGUACAAACUUUUGUAUGAAUAUGUGCUUUUAUUUCUCUUGGGUAUAUACCUAGGAGUAGAAUUGCUAGGUCAUAUGUUAACUCUAUGUUUAGCUUUUUGAAGGCCUGCCACAUCCUUGUCCAAAGUGGCUGCAUCACUUCACAUUCCCACCAGCAGUGUAUGAGAGUUCUGGUUCCUCCACAUCCUCACCAACACUUAGUAUCUGGUUUUGUGAUGGCAGUUAUCCUAGUGGAUGUGAAGAGAUAUCUCAUUGAGGUUUUGAUUUGCAUUUCCCUAAUGACUAAUGAUGUUGAAAGUCAUUUCAUGUGCUUAUUGGCUAUUUGUAUAUCUUCCUUGGGGAAAUGUCUAUCCAUGUCCUUUGCCCAUUUUAAAAUUGGGUUAUUUGUCUUUUUAUUGUUGAGUUGUAAGAGUUCUUUAUAUAGUCAGGAUACUUGGCUCUUAUCAGGUAUGAUUUGGAAAAACUUUCUCCCAUUCUAUGAGUUGUCUUUUCACUUUCUUGAUAUGUCCUUUGACCCUAGAUAAGUGUUAAAAAAAAUCAUUCUGGCAGCCAUGUGGAAGAUGGAGUCGUGAGGGGCAAGAAUGGUUGCAGGGAGAUUAGUUAGGAAGUAUUGCAGUGACUGAGGCUAGAGAUGAUGAUGGCUUGGAUGGUAGACAAGGUUCUGGCUUUAAAUUAUUGCCAGCUCUAGGUAGGCAGUGUUAGAUCAGCUGUUUCAAAUUUUAUUCCACUUUAAAUGUUUUGAAACCAAGAGAGAAAAUUGUGACACAAUUAACAUUUAUGUGGCUUGUCCAUAGACUCGAGAGUCAGCUCUACCAUGUGGUCUCAAGUGGCUCUGGAUUUGUUACACAAGUUCUGACUAAGGCUUUGGAUUUUCGAGACCCAAUUGCAAAUCUCACCCAUAAAAAGUUGGUAAAUUUUAUUAAUAAACUCAUACACAGGAGUGGAAGCUCUCAAGAUAAAGAGAAUAUGCCAUUUUCUUGGGUUGAGGUAAAAAAACAACUCAAAGGCGUGUGCCUGGAUCCUCCUCAUUGAUGUUUCCUCAGGAAAUCAAGGAGGAAUUGGGGUGAUCUGAAAGUUUGCUUCAGUCUGACUAUAAGAGCAAAGGAUGUGGAAGAAUGAAAACAAAAUAAAGGGAGACGAGAUGAUUAGGCGGAGGGAGAGUAGACUUUUCUUAGGAAACUGUCCUAGUCUGUUUAGGCUGCUGUAACGGAAUACUACCGACUGAGUGGCUUAUAAACAAUAGAAAUUUAUUUCUCACAGAUCUGGAAGCCAGGAAGUUCAGGAUCAAGGUGCUGACAGAUUUGAUGUCUGAUAAGAGCCCAUUUCCUUGUUCCUAGACAGCUUUCUUCUCACUGUGACCUCACAUGGUGGAAUUCCAUUCAUGAGAUUGACCCAAUGAGAGCUCCACCCUCAUGACCUAGUCAACCUCCCAAAAGCCCUCCUCCCAAACACCAUCUUGCUGAGUGCUAGGAUUUAACAUGAAUCUGGGGAGGACACAAACACUGAGUGUAUAGGAGAAACAGAAUGAGCGCUUUGUGGAGAGACUAGACAUAGAAAGAUCUGCAUAAGCUCUUGGAGACAAGUUGGGAUAUAUGCAAAUGGAGUAGGAGGUAUACUCAGGUUUAAUUGUUCAUAAAGAGGGUAUUAGAAAAGAUCAAAAUGUUUUAAUUAUUACUAGUUCAGGAGUAGUGACUGCACCCAUUAAAAAACAAAUGAGAAGAGAUAAGCCCACUGACUGAAGUCAUCGCCUCUGCCCGCAAGAAGCCAGAUCCAGGAAUGAACUGAGAGGCUUCUCUGAAAGGAGCAGAUGAAGAAUCCACAGGGCUCUCUUCCACAAAGUGUCUCAAGUGACUGGGAGGAUAGAGGAUGCAGCACCGUGAAGCUGCGUCGUCCGGAACACAAGGCCACCCCUGGUUGCUGCAGUGCAGAGAGCUGCAGGUCACGCAGCAGCUGUUAAAGGCUUUGCCUGGAAAUCACCUUCAUGACUCUGACAUUUACCGGAUGAAAGGUCCAAAAUGCUGUAAUUGUACAAUUUAAAGGAAAAGGAAAAAGCUCUCCCGGCAGUUUCUACUUAUCCUGCUCAGUAGAUGGCACACAACUGAGCUGCUGCUGCACUGCCAUUCUUUCGUUAUUCGGUAAACUAUGAAUUCAGAACUUCUCCUUUCCCUCUCAUCUCCCCAGAGUGGCACUGAAGUUUAGGAGACAUGAUGUGAAGCGUCAGGUCUUUGGCCAUCAGCGCCCCUCUAGGCUGGCGUUCACUGCUGUGUCCACAUUCCCAUCGACUCGGAUCAUCAGUCCUGCACUUGCAGCGGCCUAUUCUGAUGGUGACGAUUCUUCCUGAGCCACGUCCUCACUCCUCUUAGGGACUGGGGAACUGUUGGAUGUUCCCCUGUGCCACUCUGGAGACUUGGGGGGAUGUGGCAGACGUGGGGCGCUGUCCUAGACGCAUCUAGUUGCCACUUCUACCCUCCCCUGUUCACCCUGGCCCCACCUGAGACGUGAGCACAGGUUCCUGUGCUCUCAGAUCCCCAAAACUCCCUGGACAUUCUAUGAGUCAUUGUGACUCCUCGCCGACCCCCCACCCUGGCACCCCAGCUGUAUCUUGGAGCCACUGUCGCUCUCUUAUUUGACCUCUCUCUUCAGCUUGGAGAAUUAUCUAACGCUAUGCUGUCCAACACAGUAGCCACUAGUCACAUGAGGCUACUGAGCUCUUAAAAUGUGGUUAGGCCAAAAUGAGAUGCACUGAAACUGAAAAUGCACACCAACUUCAGACUUAGUAUGAAGAAAAGAUUAUAAUAUCUCAUUAAUAAUUUUUAUAUAGUUUACACAUUGAAAUGAUAAUACUUUGGAUAUGUUGACUUAAAUAAAGUUAGUGUUACA